GGUGGAACGAGGGCUUAACUGUCUCCCCCCUCUAGUCAAUGAAAUUGAUCUACCCGUGCAGAAGCGGGCAUAGAAAUACAAGACGAGAAGACCCUUUGGAGCUUAAGACAAAAGACCAACUACGUCAAAAGUCCUAAAAACUAAACCAAGUAGAACUGGUCCCAAUCUUCGGUUGGGGCGACCGCGGGAGAAAACAAAGCUCCCAUGCGGACUGGGGCACCCCUAAAACUAAGAGAGACAUCUCCAAGACACAGAACAUCUGACCAAAAAGAUCCGGCCACACGCCGACCAACGGACCAAGUUACCCUAGGGAUAACAGCGCAAUCCCCUUCCAGAGUCCAUAUCGACAAGGGGGUUUACGACCUCGAUGUUGGAUCAGGAC
rnacentral:rRNA from 1 species